UUAUUGAUCUUGUUAACAAUAUAUUCAAUACAACAAACGCCAAAAACGUUAAUAUUUUCUUUGGAGAGCUUCACAAUGAACUCUACGAUGAGUACAAGUCUCAGAUUGCCGACUGUGUAAAACCAGAGAU
rnacentral:sRNA from 1 species